GCCCAGACUCCUACGGGAGGCAGCAGUGGGGAAUAUUGCACAAUGGGGGAAACCCUGAUGCAGCGACGCCGCGUGAGCGAUGAAGUAUUUCGGUAUGUAAAGCUCUAUCAGCAGGGAAGAAGAUGACGGUACCUGACUAAGAAGCCCCGGCUAACUACGUGCCAGCAGCCGCGGUAAUACGUAGGGGGCAAGCGUUAUCCGGAUUUACUGGGUGUAAAGGGAGCGUAGACGGCGAUGCAAGCCAGAUGUGAAAGCCCGGGGCUCAACCCCGGGACUGCAUUUGGAACUGUGUGGCUGGAGUGUCGGAGAGGCAGGCGGAAUUCCUAGUGUAGCGGUGAAAUGCGUAGAUAUUAGGAGGAACACCAGUGGCGAAGGCGGCCUGCUGGACGAUGACUGACGUUGAGGCUCGAAAGCGUGGGGAGCAAACAGGAUUAGAUACCCGCGUAU
rnacentral:rRNA from 1 species